GUGUGGUCGACUUGGCUAACUGUCAGUCUCCUGACCCGAGGGUUGUGGGAUCGAUUCCCAGUAGU
rnacentral:tRNA from 1 species